GUGCCUACUGAGCUGAUUAGCAGUUGAUACCAGAAACACUGGCUCAGUUCAGCAGGAACAG
rnacentral:pre_miRNA from 1 species